CUGGCUACCACACGCCCAGAAAUGCCUCUGGAAUGGCAGAUAAAUGGCUGUCCCUGUGCUCCAAGCUUUGCUCUCGACUAUAUGUCUAUGUGUGUGUCAGUCUCAAAGGAAAGCAGGAUGGAUCACGAAACAGGAAGCAUUCCAACAUAUUUGUGCAAAUGUCCAGGUCAGCAGGAUUGACUUGCGCCACAUCGCACGCUUGCGUGUACGAGGCCUGCCUGCUCCGUGUGGGUGAUGGCCGGACCACAGACAUCAGACAGUCCCCUCGCCGAAGCGUCACAUGGCCCGGACUGCCAUGCUGUCAGCGACUCCUUAAACAACAGAAGCUUUGUGCGAUUUGAUGUCACCAGAUCAGUGGUGACGGCGGCGAGCGAGGCGACCAUCCCUGCUGAGCACAGACACGGACCCCAAAAACGGCAAGAGAGUCCGGCGCUUGCUUUUCACUGUAAGCUGAACCUAAAAAGAUGAGGCCUCUGCUGAUUGGACAGGGGGAUGAGAGACAAGAGGCACUGGGUUCAUUCUCAGAGGCCUCAUAUUUAUAGGCUUGUAUGAUCAGUAGAUAGUGCAGGGAUCAAGCAUGUAGAGCUGCGGGGGAUGGUUGUUGGGUCGAAUCCCAGAAUGUGGUCAGGUGCUAUAGCGAUAUAAUGGCUCCAGUGGGGUAUAAUGCUGGAUGGAUGUAACACUUUGGAAGGAAGGGAACGGCCUUUGAAGUUAACAGGCUGCGUGGGGUCCGUGCAGCCUGUGUGACCACCAGCAGGAAGCCACUUUUGGGGCCUCUUCGGUAACCCCACACCCUGCUGGUCCGUUUUCCCAGCAGAAAGCCACAUCUAGUACACAUCCCUUUCAUAUCAUCCACUUACAUGGGUAAUCUUCCCCAAAGCAGCUUCGAUUAGACACCAGUUGUGAGAAUGGUGGGGGCGCAUUGAAAUUCAUAUCCCCCCCCCCACAGCUGUCGUACUGAAGGGCACAUCAUUGUUCAUUUAUUAAAUGGGAUCUCGCUCCAAAUGGUGAUGACUUCCUCACAUGACACUAGCCCACGCAGCCAAAGUAUGUUAUGUUCUCCACAGUGUCUGCAGAAAAUCUCUUUUCUUCAUCUUCUUCAGAAGUUCGCUGUUGUAGCCCAGUGCAGAUUCUGACCACAGUUCCAGCAACAGACUCUCUUCCCAGUGGUCUAAUGGUGUGUUGGUGAUCCCAUUGCCUAAAUACCAUCACUGAUUUAUAUAGUAUUUCAAUAUUCUGUUUUCUAAUCGUGUACUGUACUUUUUAGUUGCUUCUCACGACAUCCGCUUGUUUCCUAUGUUGACUGUCUUUGCACUUUGCUUUGCGCCAUAUGUCUGUCCGUCUGUGCUUUACAAACUCACCACUGCAUGCGCGCGACUUUCCCCCUGAAAGUUUAUCUUAAUCUUAAUCGAUGUGACUGGAAACAUUUGGAUUGACUGUUAAUUGAAUUGACCGCACGCUCUCCCGUUUAACUCCACGCCUUUAAAACUCACACCCUACUGCCAUUAUUUUGUGGAUCUCAUUCAGAUUUUAAAACCAAGCUAAAAGCCUUCGUUUUGCUGAGGUAUUUAACCUUCCCAAUGCAGAAUGUGUUAUGUCUGAUUUUGUGUACUUUCUCUGUAAGCGUCUUUGAGUUCAUGUAAAAGCACUAUAUAAAUAAAAUUUAUUAUUAUUGUUAUUAUUAUUAAUUUCUCUUUUGGAACAACAUCCCGAUAUUGUAGUAUUUAAUGAACCUUGCCUGUGAACCUUGUCUAACUUAGCGACUGAUUCUCCAUUCCUCAUGAACUUCCCUGCUGUUAAGCAGCUAAGACUCGCCCAGAUCAUGGUGCAUCCCUCCCUGGAAAAUGUGCGAAGCCGCCAAGUCCUGACUGUGAAGGAGAAACACAGUUUGCUAAUUUUAUCACCUCCGAAAACACGGCAUGCUCUGCUGACGCCGAUUCCCGUUACAGUGAACGUGAUAAAUGGAAUCUCCUCUCAUCUGCAGCAUGACCUGUUGCACUACAAAGCUGAGGACCUUUUUAGUGCUGCAGCGGGUAGCGCUAGUUUGGCAGCUCGUGUGUGACUCCGUGGGUUUAGACUCUGUGCCUGUACUCAGUAGGUCUUCAGUUUGAAUCCCGUGGUCUGCAGGGUGAGUUCACUGUUGGGCUAUUGAGUGAGGCUUCUGAGCACCAAAGGAAAAAUAAUUUCCAACGCUCACUAAGCCCACAGGGGACAUUUUCAUGAAGGUUUUUGUGGGCCAAAUCAGUUUUGGAAAUUUAACAGAAGUUGUUAGUUGGAUUACAUGAGGACUGAGAGAGUUUUGGUUCCCAGUAUUGUGACAUAUGACGAGGACGCCUGACAUUGCGGUGUUAUGUUAACAGGAA